rnacentral:misc_RNA from 1 species
AUGAAGAACGUAGCGAAAUGCGAUAAGUAAUGUGAAUUGCAGAAUUCAGUGAAUCAUCGAAUCUUUGAACGCACCUUGCACCCUUUGGCAUUCCGAAGGGUAUGCUCGUUUGAGUGUCAUUGUACUCUCACACUUCCAAUCUUUGGAUUGGGAGCGGUGGACUUGGGUGUUGCUGCUUACUGUGGCUCACCUCAAAUCGAUUCGUGCACCUCUUGGUUGGACAUAGUACGGCGUGAUAAGUGUCUUCGCCGGCACCUCAGUAGAGGGUGGCUGAUCAGGAGCUCUGUGCUUCAAACCGUCCUCGGACAACAACUGACAACUUGACCUCAAAUCGAGUAGGACUACCCGCUGAACUUAAGCAUAUCAAUAAGCGGAGGA